rnacentral:rRNA from 1 species
GACGAACGCUGGCGGCGUGCUUAACACAUGCAAGUCGAGCGGUAAGGCCCUUUCGGGGGUACACGAGCGGCGAACGGGUGAGUAACACGUGGGUGACCUGCCCUCAGCUCUGGGAUAAGCCUGGGAAACUGGGUCUAAUACUGGAUAUGACUCCACGGUGCAUGUCGUGGGGUGGAAAGCCUUGUGCGGCUGAGGAUGGGCCCGCGGCCUAUCAGCUUGUUGGUGGGGNGAUGGCCUACCAAGGCGACGACGGGUAGCCGGCCUGAGAGGGCGACCGGCCACACUGGGACUGAGGCACGGCCCAGACUCCUACGGGAGGCAGCAGUGGGGAAUCUUGCGCAAAUGGGCGAAAAGCCUGACGCAGCGACGCCGCGUGA